AAUGACACGAAAGUAUUUUCGUCAAGGCCGCAGAUUACCACACGCCCACACCACAGCCGCUCCUGUUUGUACAUUUUCCCCAAAUCUCCUCUAAUCCUAGCCACCCCUGCCCUCCCCUCGAACCCUAGCCGCCCCUGCCCUCCCAUUGAGCGUGAGCCGUAGCCGAUCUAGCCACCGGCGGGGCGGCGCAAGCGGCGGCCGGUUCGGCCAACGGCGGGGCGGCGCAAGCGGUGGCCGGUUCGGCCAACGGCGGGGCAGCGCGGCGUGAGCGAGGGCCAGUCCGGCCAACGGAGGGGCGGCGCGAGCGGCAGCCGGUCCGGCCAAUGGCGGGGAGAGCGAUCGACGACCUGUUUGGCAACCGACGGGGCUGCACGACCUUGAUCUCUCCAGGUUACAGAGGUGGGAGGAAAGCAGAAGAGUGUGCGACAAGCUGCCACAUCUCACGUCCAAUUUAUUUUAUCUCACGUACAGAGGUUAGAGACGAAAUCUUUUGAAAAUUGAUCAGCCAAUACAGAAAAAUGUCUCCCAGUGAAGUGUGCAAAGUGUGCCUGCAGCGGGGACGGAAUAGGAUAACGUAAGAAAUAAACAGAAAUACUGCUACUUCAUCCAGCAAAAAUGGUAGUAUACCCAGCGCUGAAUGUGUAUGUUUGCAUGUAUGUGCAGUUUAAUGUACGGUGCAUGCUUAAUUACACGUCUUAUCUAUGUAUCAUGACACAAUGUGGUCAGCUCGCAGAUCAUUGUAAGUUUUGACGGAAUAGGCAUGUGUUGUACUAACUCCUUUUGUAUGCUUUUGAUGUUAAGUUACUAAUUAUAUCAAUAGAAUUUCUGUCAUCCUCUGUUAAA